rnacentral:tRNA from 1 species
GCCCUUGUAGUUCAACGGAUAGAAUAGGGGAUUCCGGAUCCUCUGAUGUGGGUUCGAUUCCCGCCAGGGGCA